rnacentral:rRNA from 1 species
GAUGAACGCUAGCGGCAGGCUUAAUACAUGCAAGUCGAGGGGCAGCGCAGUGUAGCAAUACAUGGGCGGCGACCGGCAAACGGGUGCGGAACACGUACGCAACCUUCCUUUAAGUGGGGGAUAGCCCAGGGAAACUUGGAUUAAUACCCCGUAAUAUUAUGAAGUGGCAUCACUUUAUACUUAUAGCUCCGGCGCUUAAAGAUGGGCGUGCGACUGAUUAGGUAGUUGGCGGGGUAACGGCCCACCAAGCCUGCGAUCAGUAACUGGUGUGAGAGCACGACCAGUCACACGGGCACUGAGACACGGGCCCGACUCCUACGGGAGGCAGCAGUAAGGAAUAUUGGUCAAUGGACGCAAGUCUGAACCAGCCAUGCCGCGUGGAGGAUGAAGGUCCUCUGGAUUGUAAACUUCUUUUAUUUGGGAAGAAACCCACUGUUUCUACGGUGGUUGACGGUACCAGAUGAAUAAGCACCGGCUAACUCCGUGCCAGCAGCCGCAGUAACAC